rnacentral:misc_RNA from 1 species
GAUGAAGAACGCAGCGAAAUGCGAUAAGUAAUGUGAAUUGCAGAAUUCAGUGAAUCAUCGAAUCUUUGAACGCACAUUGCGCCCGCCAGUAUUCUGGCGGGCAUGCCUGUUCGAGCGUUAUUUCAACCAUCAAGCCCUGCUUGCGUUGGGGUCCUGCGGCUGCCCGCAGGCCCUGAAAACCAGUGGCGGGCUCGCUAGUCACACCGAGCGCAGUAAUACAUCUCGCUUUGGGCGUGCGGCGGGUUCUUGCCGUUAAACACCCCCUUUUUACCAAGGUUGACCUCGGAUCAGGUAGGAAUACCCGCUGAACUUAAGCAUAUCAAUAAGCGGAGGA